rnacentral:rRNA from 1 species
GACGAACGCUGGCGGCGUGCCUAACACAUGCAAGUGGAGCGACGAACCAGGCUUCGGCCUGGGGCAGAGCCGCGAACGGGUGAGUAACACGUGGGUAACCUGCCCUGAUGAUUGGGACAACCCGAGGAAACUCGGGCUAAUACCAAAUGUGCCCUCCGACCAUAAGGUCGCUGGGGAAAGGAAGCUUCGGCCUCCGCAUCGGGAUGGGCCCGCGGCCCAUUAGCUUGUUGGUGAGGUAANGGCUCACCAAGGCAACGAUGGGUAGCUGGUCUGAGAGGACGAUCAGCCACACUGGGACUGAGACACGGCCCAGACUCCUACGGGAGGCAGCAGUGGGGAAUCUUGCGCAAUGCGCGAAAGCGUGACGCAGCAACGCCGCGUGGGGGAAGAAGGCCUGG